GGGUCGGUAGCUCAACGGUAGAGCGUCUGCCUCUUAAGCAGGAUGUUCAGGGUUCGAAUCCCUGCCGACUCA
rnacentral:tRNA from 1 species